rnacentral:rRNA from 1 species
GACGAACGCUGGCGGCGUGCUUAACACAUGCAAGUCGAACGGGCUUUAGUAAACCGAGGCCUCGUUGGAAUAUUACUAAUGAGAGUGGCGAACGGUUGAGUAACUCGUGAUCAACCUGCCUAUAACAGUGGGAUAGCCUCGUGAAACCGGGAUUAAUACUGCAUAAAAUCGUUGAAACACAUGUUUCAACGUUCAAAGAAUUAUCGGUCAUAUAUGGGCUCGCUUCUGAUUAUCUAUAAGGUGAGGUAACACCACACGACGGCGUCUAUCAGUAGACUGUAUGAGAGGCUGAACGGACACAUUGGAACUGAGACACAGUACAAACUCCUACGGGAGGCGGCAGUGGGGAAUAUUGCACAAUGGCGGAAAUCCUGAUGCAGCGACGAUGCGUGAACGAAGAAGGUAUUGAUAUAGUAAAGUGUAGUCAUAUGGGAAGAUAAUGACAGUACCAUAGAAGAAAGCUCCGGCUAAAUACGUG